rnacentral:lncRNA from 1 species
CUGGUGACUGUUGAGAUAAUUUUUACUGUUUGUUUGUCCGACAAAUAUUUUAUUUUAGUUGGGUUUUUUUCCUGUGGAUUGAUAUGAAAUUAUUUACUCCUUCUUUGCUUCACCUUCAAUUGGUUUUUUGAAUUUUUUUAAGAACUCACUCAUUGUUUCGUUUCAAAUCUGUAUUGUCAUAUAUACAUUAAACUACCAUGUAACUUAUAUACAAAUUAAACACCAACAAAAUACAUCUAGAAU